UCAAAUAGGACAUAGACUUCAGCAGGCUUGAUCUAAAAUGUACAGACUGCUCCACAGAAGCACUGGGGGUGACAAUACGUGGCUCCAAAAUUAUUUUAGUCAUUAGAAUAUACUAUCACCCUCCAGACCAGAAUAUUAAGUGAUCCUGACAUGGAGAAUGAAAUCAGGGGGACCUGAAACAAAAGCAGUGCUGUAAUAAUGGAUGACUUCAACUACCUACACAUUGACUGAAUAAGAGAAGAAUAGAAAUGUUUUUGAGGAGCAUAUUGCUAACAACAUCAAGGCCAACGAUAAAAGGACUCUUUAAAUAUAUCAGAAGAAAGAAACCAGCUAGAGAGGCAGUUCAACCACUGGAUGAGAAGGGAAUUAAAGGUGCACUAAAGGAGGAUGCUGUCAUGAACCAGGUGUUCCCUCCCAGCAAGACAGACUCUUCAGCAUUUCUUUUGAGGAUCCAGAACAGAUACCGCUUCCCAUACUGAUAUAUUCAAGAAUAGAGUCUGAGGAUAAGACAGACAAUAGUGACAAAAACAAUGAAAUUCUCCAUCUUAAGACAAACUGACAAAAUUCAGGUGACAAACUGAAAAUUGAUAAAUCAGCUGGCCAAAAUAGUAUCCAUUCUGGCUUUUUUAAAGAGCACAGAGCUCAAAUAUGAAAUAGCAAACCUUCUUACCAAAAUAUGUAAUGUGUCCCUAACAUAAGCUUCUGUAAGACCUAUUUUUUGAAAGCAUCCAGGGGAAAUCUGGGAAAUUGCCAACCAGUUAGUUUAAUGACUGUUCUGGGUAAAUAGAUUGAAAGCAUGAUUAACAGCAUAAACAGUAAGCACACAAAAGGACAAACACUUCUGAAAAAGAAUUGACAUGUUUUCCUCAAAGGUAAGUCCUAAGCUUUUUUGAAUUUUUUCAGAGUGUCAUUAAAUGUGUGAAGAGGGGCAAUCCAGUAAACAUUGUUUACUUGGACUUCCAAAAGAUUUUCAACAAUGUUCCUCACCAAAACCUCCUAAGCAAGCAUAAUCAACUUAAUUAUGGGAUAUAGCUGUGGGGCAGCAGGGGUUUCCUAUAGAUCCCUGCAUUAAAUCUAAUUUGGCCCAAAUGUUGUUUCUGGAUAAAUGAGAGUGCUAAAAAGUAUCUCUUGCACUUUCUGGUGGGUGGAGAUUCAAUUCACAACAAUCACAGUGUGAUUCAAAAUUGGUUUAGGAUCAGCACAAGGGGUGUGAGGCAAAUUCCCCCAUUCGUUGUGUCCAGAAAGCCAGCAAUAUUGGCUUCAGAUAAAGCAGAAUUUUUAAAAUCCUUGGAUUGCUUCAGGUCAUAUAAACAAGCUCAUGGUGGCAGUAAAUCAGCCAUGUAGGAUUCUAAAACUGUUACAGUGCCACAACUUGUUACUGAGUCCCCAAUGUUCUCUCUCAUCAAAGACCUUUGAAUUUUCAGAAGUAGAACCUUUAACAUAUGGUGAACAAGGUGAGGUGGUUCAUCACAGUGUGCUGUGAUUUGCUAUCCAGAAUGUCUGUGGUUGGUGCUUGACUUAAUCCUGGACUAGAUGUUCUGCCAUGCCAUUUCUCUGUGGAUAGGCUGACUUUUGGAAUUUAAGGUUUCCUCCUUUAAGAGAAAAUAAACAUAUACUUCACUGUGUGCAUCGGGGGGGGGGGGAUUGCAUCCCCUGUUGUCACUAGUAGAAAAGGCUACUGUUAGGAUGUAAUACUUUGUCCAGCAACAGAAAUACUUCUAGGAGAGUCAGUCUUCACCAACUUGAUGCUCUCCAAAAGGGUUGGACUAUCAGUCAUCACCCCCAGCCAGUAUAGUUAUUGGCUGCAUUGACUGACAGUGAUGGCUACUGUAGCACACUAACCCUGUCUCUCUGUCUAUGUUUCCAUUGCUAUUGACACAUGGAGAACUCCUUUCUGAAGGGAGAUCCUUUUCCAGCCAUGGAGACUCCUAUGCUUUCCAGGGUUCCAAAGUGCUUGGAGAGCGUCUAUGGAUAGAGGAGGCUCUCCCUUUAAGGACAUUGCCCUCUAUUGUAGACAGUGUGAUGAGUUGAUGGGACUAAAGCUAGUAUCUCUUGGUAUAUUUCAUAUAUUUAGUUUGAGAGUGCUGCAAUGUGUAUAUAUUUAAAGUGAUGUUUAAUAUAAAAGAAGCCAGGAAAAUUAGUCAGGGCUAAGUCACAUUAAAAGGAAAGUCAAGACCCACCUGAGUCUUGCUGAAUUUGGUGGGACAUCAAUCUUUCUUAUCACUAUUAACUAGAGAGUAAGUUCCAGUGAUUCCUAUAUUUUCUUAAGGGCAUCAGGUGCCAGCUUUAGUUACAUCUUACUUUUACUGGUUUUGCUAAUAUGCCUGUGUAACACUGUUAUAUUACUUCUGUUCUUCAUCUCACAAGAGAUGUUUGUGUUCUGAUCCUUGCUGCAGAUUCCGAUCAAUCCUGGAGACUGGUAUCUGCUAGGUUUUGUUUUAUUUUUCAAUGAAGGAACAGCCAUCUUUCUUUGUCUCAUCAGCUCAGCCUGAAAUCUUUUUUGCGCUAGCAGACACUGACUACUACUUUGAGCCUGCUUAAUGUCUCCUGUGUUCUAGUCUAAGAACUCUGUUUUUCUUAAUGUCCAGUCUGAAGAAGCUUGUUCACUAUUUUGUGCCAUUUUGAGUUAGUCCUAAUAAAUCUUUUUCUCCGUA